GACGGUCUCUGUCUCGAAGGUAAGGGAUGUCUCUCUUCUGUGAGAAGGUAAGGGAAGAAGGGUGCAGAUGGAAAAUGAGAAGGUAAGGGAAGAAGGGUGCAGAUGGGAAGCUGGGAACUAGGGCAAGGGAAACGCGAAGAGCGCCACAACGAAAGAAAGUAAA